GCGUGGCGUUGGGAGCGUAGCCGUGGUAGGUGAGCGCAGGGGUGACACGGAAUGGGAGCCGGCCGCGGAGGUGGUUUUCCGUGGUCAAGCACGCAGCCAGUCGCACAGGCAAAUCCGUGCGGCGCGUAUGGCGAGGUGCGAUGAUGGGAGCCGUUUCGGCUCGAUAUCCGGUGGUCCAGGCCGUCGAGAAAAGCCCCGGCGUCAGGCGCGUUGCCGCCCGUACCCCAAACCGACACUGGUGGUCAGGUAGAGAAUACCAAGGCGAUCGAGCGAAUCCUGGUCAAGGAACUCGGCAAACCGCUCCCGUGCCUUCGGCAUAAGGGAGACCCCCGCGGGUGAACGGACAUGCUCCGGGAGCGUGUGGGGGUGGCACAGACCAGGGGGUAGCGACUGUUUACCAAAAACACAGGUGCAUGCGAAGGCGUAAGCCGCUGUAUAUGCACUGACGCCUGCCCGGUGCCGGAAGGUUAAGAGGAUCCGUCAGCCCCUUGGGGGUGAAGCGGUGAAUUCAAGCCCCGGUAAACGGCGGUGGUAACUAUAACCAUCCUAAGGUAGCGAAAUUCCUUGUCGGGUAAGUUCCGACCUGCACGAAUGGCGUAACGACUUCCCCGCUGUCUCGACCAGGAGCUCGGCGAAAUUGCAGUACGAGUAAAGAUGCUCGUUAAGCGCAGAAGGACGAAAAGACCCCGGGACCUUUACUAUACCUUGGUAUUGGCGUCAGUCGCGGAUUGUGUAGCAUAGGCGGGAGGCUUCGAGGCGCGGGCGCCAGCCCGCGCGGAGCCGCAAGGUGAAAUACCGCUCUGUUCUCGUUUGACGUCUCACCUCGAACGGUCAUCCUGUUCAGGGACAGUGCCUGGCGGGUAGUUUAACUGGGGCGGUUGCCUCCCAAAGAGUAACGGAGGCGCUCAAAGGUCCGCUCAGCCCGGUUGGCAAUCGGGUGUCGAGUGCAAUCGCACAAGCGGGCUUGACUGCGAGGACGGCGGUCCGAGCAGGGACGAAAGUCGGAGAUAGUGAUCCGGUGCCGGCGCACGGGCGCGGCAUCGCUCAACGGAUAAAAGGUACCCCGGGGAUAACAGGCUGAUCAUUCCCAAGAGUCCAUAUCGACGGGAUGGUUUGGCACCUCGAUGUCGGCUCGUCGCAUCCUGGGGCUGGAGCAGGUCCCAAGGGUUCGGCUGUUCGCCGAUUAAAGCGGUACGCGAGCUGGGUUCAGAACGUCGUGAGACAGUUUGGUCUCUAUCCUCUGCGCUCGUUGGAAUCCUGGGGAGGCCUGCCCAUAGUACGAGAGGACCUGGGUGGACGAACCUCUGGUAUGCCGGUUGUCGCGCCAGCGGCACGGCCGGUUGGCUACGUUCGGGAGGGAUAACCGCUGAAAGCAUCUAAGCGGGAAGCCUGCUCCGAGAUUAGGAUUCCUUGGGCCCUUCGGGGUCCUGAAGCCCGCAUGUGGAACACGUGUUUGAUAGGCCGGAGGUGGAAGCCCCGCGAGGGGUGGAGCCGACCGGUACUAACGGGCGACGGCGACGU
rnacentral:rRNA from 1 species